UACGUAGGGUGCAAGCGUUGUCCGGAAUUAUUGGGCGUAAAGAGCUCGUAGGCGGUCUGUCACGUCGGCUGUGAAAACCCGAGGCUCAACCUCGGGCCUGCAGUCGAUACGGGCAAACUAGAGUACUGCAGGGGAGACUGGAAUUCCUGGUGUAGCGGUGAAAUGCGCAGAUAUCAGGAGGAACACCGGUGGCGAAGGCGGGUCUCUGGGCAGUAACUGACGCUGAGGCGCGAAAGCGUGGGGAGCGAACAGG
rnacentral:rRNA from 1 species